rnacentral:sRNA from 1 species
GAGUAGCUGGGAUUACAGGUGCCACCUAAUUAGCCCGCCACCACGCCCGGCUAAUUUUUGUGUUUUUAGUAGAGACAGGGUUUCACCAUUUUGGCCAGGCUGGUCUUGAACUCCUGACCUCAUGAUCCACCCGCCUCGGCCUCCCAGAGUGCUGGGGUUACAGGCGUUGGCCACCGCACCUGGCCUAAAACUGAUUUUUUAUUAAUUUUGGGACUUUUAGUAUUUUUUUCUUAUUACUAAAUUCUGAGGUUAUUUAUAGUAGCCCCAUAUACGGAAUUAGAUAAUCUCUUGUGAUUUUCUAUUUCUGGUAAUUAUUUCUAAUUUUUUUUGUUUGUUUUUGAGACGGAGUCUCGUUAUGUCGCUCAGGCUGGAGUGCAGUGGUAUGAUCUCCGCUCUUUGUAGCCUCUGCCUCCCGGGUUCAAAUGAUCCUCCCACCUCAGCCCCCCCCGGAGUAGCUUGGACCACAGAGUACGAGUACAUCUGGUUGAAAGAGAAAAGGCAGAGAGAAAAGCAGACUUUUUGGAGUUGUUUUCAGGCACUAACAGAGUCAUCCCUUAUAUGCAUAUGAAUGGACAAUAAGAUUUCUUGGAUAUUUUCAUGGCAAAGGGUAAGAGUGAAGCUAUCCUGGCCAAGAACUUUGAGAGAGACAACACUAUUCAUUCUGAAGGACCAAAAAAUGAGCAGAAAAUUUGGGAUAAAUGUCAACAAGAUUUGAACCCUAAAGAAAAGCAAGCAUCGAGUUAGACAGACCUCCAUAUUCAUUCAAGUGGGAAGCUAAAACUGUGCAGUCCCAACAUCAGAAUUUCCUUGGUCAGUUGGUUAUUGCGGGACAGCAUUCUUCUGCAUGACAGUAUUGUCUCCUUACCAGCCACAGAGGAGGCUGUGAAAGAGAGGAUUUGGGAAAUUAGUGCAAAUGAGAAAUCUUGGAAAUCUAGAACUAAAGCCUUCCAGCAGGAAAUCCAGAUGCUCACUAAGUGACUAGAGCAGCUGCAUCAUCUUUAAGAAGAAGGUGCCCAAGAAUCAUCCCAAGCUGAAGAAAAAAGUAUUGGGAACAAAAAAGACCCUUGAAAUGUCUAGAAAGAAAAAUUGAGAUCAAGGACUUUUUCAAGAGAGAUUAGACUUGGACAGGAAGAAUUUGCAGAUUGCUACAACGCAAAGAUUGGAGGAGAAAAUUCAGAAACUUCAGAAACAGCUCAGUGAUUUGAAAUUGUCAAAUAAAAAUAUGAAAACUCAGCUGACAAGAGUAAAUGUCCUUAAAGACAAAACAAUUGAAGAGCUCAGGCAAUCUUUAGCAAAUGUUGAAACGAUGAAAGAGAAGGCAAAUGUUGAAACGAUGAAAGAGAAGGCAGUUGUGAAAACAGAAAA